UCCGACGAUUCCUCGGCCUUGUACCCAGCCCUUACUUGCCUAUGUUCUACUCGGUACCCUCACCGCAGUCGCCGGCCUUGUUUGAGUUAUGCCUUCUUUGCGCGGUGUGGUGAUAGGCGACAGCCUGUUUAAAUUCAUGUGCAGGAGUCGCCUUCACUUGAAAACAUCCGUCGAGACCUGCACAUUUAGUUUUGGUAGUUUUGACGCUGUGCGAAUGGCUGAGGCCGUCUCUGCGAUGCACUUUCAGCGCGUAGACUGUCGUUUUGUACGUUGGUGGUAACGACGUUUGCAGUGCCAACGCGGACCCUCAAGAUAUAUGCGACAAUAUAGGGAAAUUAGUUCUGCAACUGCAGCACGAUGUGGCCCCCGUGGUGUAUACGUCUUCAAAGUGCUGCCACGUUGCUCCAGCUCUGAAGACGCCGAUGCGGAGCGCCAGAUCAAGAAAACGCGCUUGCUGAACCGCAAGCUGACGGCUACGCUGAAACGCCUGCCGUGUGUUCGAAUCUUGAACGCCGAGCAUGUUGGUCUUCAUUCGACAGCUGUCUCACCUUUGGAUGUACAGAGGCAUCCACUUCCACCUUGAGCACCGCACCGUGCAGCCAACGCUCCGCGGAGCAUCUCUCGCGGGCGGCUGGGGCACGCAAGCGCAGUGACAACUGUAGGUGGUGCCUUCGCCGCGUCGUCUGCUAAAGCGCAGCGGCUCCGCCCAAUCGCGCUUGCUCUUCGAUGAAGGUAACUUAAUCUCAUGGAAAUCAAGAAGCGCAGCGACUGCGCCUCGUUCCGCACUGCUUUUUUACCUACUGUUUUCUUUUUCUGCAUGCGAUCUUAAAAGUAAUAAACCUUGGCCCGUGCAUGAGUAAGAUCGCCAAGCCGGGCUGGCACUCCCGCAACUAAGCUACUCAGAUGCUUUGUGCCGUACAGUUAGAAUAUUCCCGCUACUCACACGGUUGU